UUCUACCUCCAACAUUUGGCCGCACCGCAGUUUGUUCGUUCGUUCUUUGAAGGGGAGCAAGAACUUUUGCCCUCUUUUUGAUUUGAUUUGAUUUCAUUUCAUUUCAUUUCUGUAUAAUAUAAUAAGGGGGCGUUUUGUCAAUCUUGCAGAAAAGGAGCUCAGCUCACCAUUCGAGAAAACUGUUCUACAGAACAGACUACAAAUCGCCAGAGACUAUAUCCCGGACCGUACUGGUGAGAAUAAUGGUUGGGCUGCCAGUUCAAAACCCUUCUUCUGCCUCAGCACUGUCAGGGUCAUCAAAAGACCAGGGGCCCACCAUCACAGCAUCUGGGGCAGAUAUGAAGCCAAAGAAGAAGAUGUGUUGCGCUUGCCCCGACACUAAGAAGUUGAGAGAUGAAUGCAUUGUUGAGCAUGGUGAAGCUGCUUGUUCAAAAUGGAUUGAUGCUCACCUUAAAUGCCUUCGUGCUGAAGGCUUUAAUGUUUGAGAAUUGUCAGGAUAGCCAAGCCAACUUGACCAAAAAAUGGAAGAUGAGACAGUUCUGUUGAAUAACCUGCUUUUGUUAUGGUUUAUACCAACAAUAGAUUGUGUAUAUGUCUCUUUGAAAAUACAGGAAUGAGCCAUUCAAGAAAGGGAAGCAUUUAUCAACUGUUAUGGAACUCUCUUCUUCUUCAUUUCUUAAUUCUGAAAUUGAGGUCGUUGCCUACAA